CCUACGGGAGGCAGCAGUGAGGAAUAUUGGUCAAUGGACGAGAGUCUGAACCAGCCAAGUAGCGUGAAGGAUGACUGCCCUAUGGGUUGUAAACUUCUUUUAUAUGGGAAUAAAAUGUUCCACGUGUGGGAUUUUGUAUGUACCAUAUGAAUAAGGAUCGGCUAACUCCGUGCCAGCCGCCGCGGUAAUACGGAAGAUCCGAGCGUUAUCCGGAUUUUUUGGGGUUAAAGGGAGCGUAGGGGGGUUGUUAAGUCAGGUGUGAAAGUUUGCGGCUCAACCGUAAAAUUGCAGUUGAAACUGGCAGUCUUGAGUACAGUAGAGGUGGGCGGAAUGCGUGGUGUAGCGGUGAAAUGCUUAGAUAUCACGCAGAACUCCGAUUGCGAAGGCAGUUCACUGGACUGCAACUGACACUGAGGCUCGAAAGUGUGGGUAUCAAACAGGAUUAGAUACCCGUGUAGUC
rnacentral:rRNA from 1 species